CAAGGUCUCCGUAGGUGAACCUGCGGAAGGAUCAUUG
rnacentral:rRNA from 1 species